AUGAUUUUUUUUUUUUCUUUUUCUUUUUGUUGCUCGAACGAAGUAUGAUUUUACUCCCAACG
rnacentral:ribozyme from 1 species